rnacentral:misc_RNA from 1 species
UCGCGUCUUACGACGGCAGUUUCAGUAGAGUUCCCAGCGUUACCCGAUGGCAACUAGGGAUAGGGGUUGCGCUCGUUGCGGGACUUAACCCAACAUCUCACGGCACGAGCUGACGACAGCCAUGCAGCACCUUGCUUUGUGUCCCGAAGGAAAGGUCCAUCUCUGAACCGGUCACGCGCAUUCUAGCCUAGGUAAGGUUCCUCGCGUAUCAUCGAAUUAAACCACACGCUCCGCUGCUUGUGCGGGCCCCCGUCAAUUCCUUUGAGUUUCAGUCUUGCGACCGUACUCCCCAGGCGGCGAACUUAACGCGUUAGCUUCGAUACUGCGUGCCAAAUUGCACCCAACAUCCAGUUCGCAUCGUUUAGGGCGUGGACUAC